GAACAGGAACCCACGUGAUGCAAGAAGAGAAGCCCUAUUAAAAGCAGCGAGCCUUUAGUGUCAGAGGGCGUGGACUCGGUUUUAACGUUUUCUUGAAUAAUUUGGAAGCGGAGCGAAGGAAAGCAAAAUCACUGAACACAGGUGCUUGUGAAUUCAUUUUGGAAUUUAUUUUUCUUUUAAUCUUAUGGAAUACCUUAAAUCCAUAUACUUGCCAGCUACAAACUCAAAAUCAGACCACCUGGCAUACUGAAAACUGAUAGCAACGCCCAGGAGGACGACUACAGUAGGCUUCCGCAAUGGCCCUCCCAGCCAUGUCUGAAACCCCAGGAGCAUCCUCAAGAGUCUGCAAAACCCAGUUCUUAACUCGCUUCCUUUAGAGCCAAUAACAUGUAAACUGUGAGAAUAAAACACACUCUGAAACCAACUUUUGCCCCCAUGCCCCCAUGCCAGAGAACAACAUCUGAAUAUACUUGUCAUUAAACAGACAUUCUGCUAAAAAAGCAAUGAAGGGAGAGGUGUUGGAUUCAAAGAUUCAGCCUCUACUUAUCUAUUGCAACAAUAAAUUGCACAUUUAUCUAACAUCUUUCCUUUCUUCGGGCCUCUGCUCCCACUAAUUUGCUAGGUCUUGAAAGGCAAACACAAUCCACUGCCUUUGAAAAUGGCUUUUAACUGUGCGACAAUUUUGGGUAGAAAAAGCAGGAGCAUCAGAAACUGCUCGUGCUGCUUUGGGAUAGGAGAAGGUGGGAGUAAUUGAUUAUCUCCUUAUUCCCCAAACCUCAAUCACACCCAACCAGUGGUGAGAUUCAAAUAAUUUAACAACCACUUCUCUGCCCUAAUGACUGUUUUAAGUAUAAAAAAAUGAUAUACCAAAAGGUAGUUUAUUAUUUCUUGCAUUUAAUACUUAAAUAAGAAUAAAAGAGAUACACAAUUGUUAUAAUAAUUUUAAAAUAUUAAUGAAAAAAUAUUAAUACCUGACAAAAACAAUAAAACUGUUAAAAAUAUUUCAAUAUUGCUUUUUGAUUGGCGUCCUUACUUGCAAUUGUCUUUGAUUUUAUCUGAGCAUUAUUGGCUGUGUGAUUUAUCCUUAACUAUCUUUUGACUGUAGGAAUAGGAUCCCAUUCCUUUAGAGGUAGGCCAAUUAGGCUAAUAGUCAUUGAGUUUGAUGUAUUAGAAACAGGUGACUUCUCUGAACAUAUGUUUAUCUUUGAAAAACACCUUUCCACUUCUGCUGAACUUACAGCAAUUGUUCUGACAAUAUUUUAACUCUUUGAACACUUUCAGGAAUUGAAUAGUUCUGGGAAUUUUUUAAAAUGUUUUCCAUGAAAUCUUGAUAAUCAUUAAUAUCAAUUUGGUAAUUAACAAUGUCAUUAAAUAUGAGCAAUUGUUCUUCAACUGCUUUCCAUGGAAUUAAUACUUCUUCAAUAUUCCAGUAGUCUGGCUCCAAAAAUUGAGAAAUUGUAAUUUAUUCCUAUCGUGAAAUUGGCUACAAUCUGCCUUUAAAUGUUCACAAUCCAUUAGUCUUUUUUUCAAAUUCAUUAUAUUUUCUAAAGUCUUUCCCAAGGAAGCCCAAUAACUUGAUGAUUUUCUGCAAAUUUUAUAUUUUUGAAGGUUUCUAAAGUAAUUAAUUCAUCAACUUUCUUUUCAUAUGGACCCUUUUCCUUUCCAAACAUUUGAAAUGCUUUAAUAGA